rnacentral:rRNA from 1 species
GAUGAACGCUGGCGGCGUGCCUAAUACAUGCAAGUCGAGCGAACGGACGAGAAGCUUGCUUCUCUGAUGUUAGCGGCGGACGGGUGAGUAACACGUGGAUAACCUACCUAUAAGACUGGGAUAACUUCGGGAAACCGGAGCUAAUACCGGAUAAUAUUUUGAACCGCAUGGUUCAAAAGUGAAAGACGGUCUUGCUGUCACUUAUAGAUGGAUCCGCGCUGCAUGAGCUAGUUGGUAAGGUAACGGCUUACCAAGGCAACGAUGCGUAGCCUACCUGAGAGGGUGAUCGGCCACACUGGAACUGAGACACGGUCCAGACUCCUACGGGAGGCAGCAGUAGGGAAUCUUCCGCAAUGGGCGAAAGCCUGACGGAGCAACGCCGCGUGAGUGAUGAAGGUCUUCGGAUCGUAAAACUCUGUUAUUAGGGAAGAACAUAUGUGUAAGUAACUGUGCACAUCUUGACGGUACCUAAUCAGAAAGCCACGGCUAACUUCGUG